GCCUGGGUGGCUCAGUCGGUUGGGCAUCUGACUUCGGCUCAGGUCAUGAUCUCACGGUCUGUGAGUUCAAGCCCCAUGUCGGGCU
rfam:Felis catus isolate Cinnamon breed Abyssinian chromosome X, whole genome shotgun sequence.